rnacentral:rRNA from 1 species
UAAUACGAGGGGGGCGAGCGUUGUCCGGAAUUAUUGGGUGUAAAGGGCUCGUAGGCGGAUCGAUCCGUCGGAACUUAAAUCCCACGGCUCAACCGUGGAGCUGGUUUCGAUACCGUCGGUCUUGAGUUCGGUAGAGGAAGGCGGAACUCCUGGUGUAGCGGUGAAAUGCGUAGAUAUCAGGAGGAACACCGAAGGCGAAGGCAGCCUUCUGGGCCGAAACUGACGCUGAGGAGCGAAAGCGUGGGUAGCGAACAGGAUUAGAUACCCUGGUAGUCCACGCCGUAAACGAUGAGUACUUGAUGGUGGGGGAUUCGACCCCGUCACCGUCGGAGCUAACGCGUUAAGUACUCCACCUGGGGACUACGGCCGCAAGGCUG